ACGCAAACAAAAAUUUAAUUUCAAAAAACCACAUGUGCACAUGUUAUACUAUACAGCUAGGUGCCCCGAAAAAUGCCAUAGCUAUAUCAGGUUCUAGAAUUUUACACACGACAAGCUAGCUACUAUAGUGAGCAUCGCCAAUUUAAAAUAAGAGUUGAUUUUGAAGCUAGCUAAAACUGUCAAAAGUGAUCUAAAAUGGAAUCAAUGUUAUAUACUUGUUUUAAAGUUAGGGGUUAUCAGACCUAUUGAUACUUUACACAACUAAUGCAUGAUUUCAAUGGUCCAUUGCAUGGGUGAACUAUGCAAUUUAUAUGUAAAACAGCCAUAACAUUGGUUCUACUGGACUAAUUUUAAUCGUAGAGUAAAAUUCAUCGCUUAUAGAUUAAAUUCUCAAUGCCACUAAUAAUUAGCCGCGUAAAAAUCUGGAAAAUAUACCUAUUGCCUUUUUUGGGGACACCCUGUAUAACCAUGGUCAUGCAACAUAUAUAUGAACUGCAUGUGUAAUCUACCAAAGCAACGUAUACAAACAAAAACAGUUUAGUCUUUAAACCAACGGAAGUUUUGAUUCUCUCUUGUCAAGUUUCUUAUGAUGUAAC